rnacentral:piRNA from 1 species
UGUAAAGGAAAGUGCCCCUGGUAUG